CAGGAUUUGGAUCUGCAACUGUCAGGUUUCUGCCCACCACCAGGAUUUCAGGACCAAGUACUGGUCCUCACCUCUUAAGUGCCAUGGGAUCACUCACCAGUCCUGUGCAACACAAGGUGACACCACACAUGGUCCCAGGUCACCCGGCUGCACACGACAUCCACCACAACCCAGGUGGCGGAGUUGGUCAAAGUCGAGAAAGUGUUGAAGCAGCCAUAGCAGAUAUCAAACAAGCAAUUAGGAGAACUAAAAAUUUGCCUGUUAAAUCUCAUCCCCAAGACAGGUCACCAAUUAACGACAAGGCCCCCGUGUGGAUACCACGG